rnacentral:rRNA from 1 species
GCGACCCCAGGAUNGGCCAAGCCACCCGCCAAGUUUAANCNUAUCAAUAAGCGGAGGAGAAG